UGACAGCUCCCAUUGGCUGCGGGGGAGCGGCUCGGAGCGCGGCCGGGCAGAUCUGCGCCGCCGCCGUCGGGCGCGCAGCUCUGCAGCGCGGAGAUCGCUUCGGAGCCCGCAGCCCCAGGGGCCCGGCGAUCCCGCAUUGUGCCCGGCGCGGGCCCGGGGAUCCGGGACGAACGUCCCAGACUGAUGGCUGCGUUCCAGAUGUUAACACUGUCAGAAGCCUGACUUCCGUGUGGUAAGUCACACUAUCCUAUCUGCCUUAUUGUGUGCAUCAAAUGACUUUCUAGGGAU
rnacentral:lncRNA from 1 species